AACGAACGCUGGCGGCAGGCCUAACACAUGCAAGUCGAACGCCCCGCAAGGGGAGUGGCAGACGGGUGAGUAACACGUGGGAACGUACCCUUCGGUUCGGGAUAACUCAGGGAAACUUGAGCUAAUACCGGAUACGUCCGAGAGGAGAAAGAUUUAUCGCCGAGGGAUCGGCCCGCGUCUGAUUAGCUUGUUGGUGAGGUAACGGCUCACCAAGGCGACGAUCAGUAGCUGGUCUGAGAGGAUGACCAGCCACAUUGGGACUGAGACACGGCCCAAACUCCUACGGGAGGCAGCAGUGGGGAAUAUUGGACAAUGGGUGCAAGCCUGAUCCAGCCAUGCCGCGUGAGUGAUGAAGGCCCUAGGGUUGUAAAGCUUCUUUUACCCGGGAAGAUAAUGACUGUACCGGGAGAAUAAGCCCCGGCUAACUUCGUGCCAGCAGCAG
rnacentral:rRNA from 1 species